UAUGGUGUGUGACUGAAAUGCAACCUUAACACAAAGUAAAUGACUGAUUCUUUCACCCCAGUACUGCUUUCAUGCUUUGCCAACUGUGAUUUUGGGAGUGCUUUCCACCUGCAAAUACCAGAACAAGUAGGCCUUCACCAGAAGAGGAAAGUGCUGUUUUUCAGAGAAAUACUGCACCAAAGCAAACCUCAGAGCAGUGGGAAGGGCAGUUUGCCCUCUGUGCAUGUACUGCACCAGGCACGGGCUCAGGAAGAAGGGGCAGUAACUGUGACAGCACAGCCAGUGGUACUGCUCUGCCCCUUGCUCAGGAGCAGUGCCCAUGACAGACAGCACUCUUCCUUUCGUCAGGAGUAUCAGCGACAACCUGCAGUGCUUCUGGGCAGGAACGCGUAACACCUCUUGCAUGGGUAGUGACCACUGUAGCCAAGGAGAGUCAAAAAUGCCACGGCAUGGUGUGGUGUGAGUCACUGCUGGCCUGGGGGAGGUCGGACCUGGCCUAGGGAAGAGGAUCAGGAGCCCAGAUCCCAGAGGGUGGAAAUGGGCAAACCGGCCAGGAACGAAAAUGCUCCCUCUGGAGAGCUGGGGACCAGCUCUAGCAGGGCGCUGUCCUGGGACUCAGGGCUUGCCCUGCUACCUAUGACGUGCUGCAAGCCCAGCCACACUGCCUCUCCUCCUGCCCCAUGGGAUAACCUGGUAGCAUCAGAGGCUCCCCAGGGGCUCAGGGAGCCGAGCACUUGGACAGGACAGAAGUCUCGUGUUAAGUGUCACAAGCUCAGCUGUGGUAUGCUAGUGAAGAAAUCCCUUCAUCUUUACAAUUCUUCUAAUUUCACUAUAGGAGUAGGCAAACACCCCGCAAAAGAAAAAAAAAAAAAGACAUUUAGACAGCACAGUGUUUUUCUGUAUCACACUGUGCCGCCCUCUCCUACACUUACUACAACAUGACUUAAAGCUUCCCCAUGUAAAAAACAAACCGCUGCAUUUUGUGCCUUAAUUCUUCUAGUGUGACGUGUUUCACCUUGCUAACAGGCAUGACCCUAUGAUUUUAAGAUCUAGCCACCGUAAACUUAAACACAUACACAUGGAUGUAGAUGCUCUCUCCCCGCAAGGCACACGGUCUAAUUAAAACAGACAACAAAGUCUCAGUCAAUUUUUAAAGCAGUUGGAUUCCAAUGAAAACAAGACCAACCCUGAAGCCCAGCACUAACAAUUUUCCUUUUGAGUGGGACUGUUUUCUCUCUCAGGCAUAAAACCCCUCAUUCAGGCUCUGCACAUUCGUUAGAAGCCCAAGUACAACCGGCCCAGUGUAGUCAAGGCAAUGCUCUGCUGUUUGGUGCGGUGGCACCAAGGGUGUGUAGGAAUACUUUUACCAGGGCGGCUUGCACACAGAGGGAAAAAACAAGCUCAAUGUAACCCUAAAUAAGAUGUGCCUAAGCUGACUGAAAUCUCCAGCAGGGGCUGCAUGGGUUUCAGUUCUCUAGAAAUGGGAGGAGGCAGAGAGGGAGAAAGACUGGUAUAGCCUCAUACUUGGUGAAUACAGACAUGAGCCAGAACGGUUAGUGACAGCCUCCUAGAAUGUAGGGAGAGGCUCAGGAUUCCUGAAAGAUAACAGAAAAGCAAAUUAAGGUGGUAGAGAUCUUUUUCCACAAAGGAAAUAUUUUCUUUAUGCUCUCAGAUUCAUUGAUGUUGCUUACAAUGAAGAUACGAUCUGUUAGAACAACCAACAACUGAAACUGAAAAUACUCGCAGCACUUUAACAACGAACUUUAUUUUGCAUUAUGCUAGCUGUGGGAGCCAGCGAGCUGCUCUAUAAAUAAGCAACUACUGUAAACUAUGAAGCUAAUGUUCAACCUACAUACUCUGACCAGUAGUAAGUUCACUGAUAAAAGAUAGAUGUGGCUGUUUAUAGGUGAGCACAAUUUGCCCAUUAAGCUUUAGAAAAAUAGCCACACCCAAAUAGUCCGAGGAACCUUUGAAGCUCAGUCUUGUGGGGAACACGUGCUUUUAUAGCCUGAGUUGUGCGCUGGACUUUUCUCAGAAAUUUACGGCAGUACUAAGGUCAGGAUCAAUAUCUGUGCUGUAACGACUGUUUCUCUGUACUUAAGCACGAAUUUGGUUCAUUUCAGGCUUUCCCUCUAUUUCUGGUUCCAAAACUAGAUCAUAAAUAAAAUUUCUUAUUUUAACUGAAUCCUCUCUCAGGGAUUAUUUCCAGUUUCUGCUGUAUUGACUCGCUCUCUGCUGGGAACUAAGUGGCUUUUCAGCUUUAUUUCAGCAUCCUGAUGAUAAAAGCUCUCCACAGCAUCAUUCUGGUCGUAAUGAAUGUUCAUGUAGGAAUCCAGGCUCUCUAAACUCUUUCCUCAGCACAGAAUAAUUAUGCAGUGUGAAGUGCCGUCAUUAUUUAGAUUACAUGAUUUCUCAAGGGAAGCUUGCAUGACAAAAUGUACCAUUCAGAUCAUAUAACCCCGAAACAUGAAGAAACUAUAGCAUGAGAAUGGCUAGCUAUUUUUAAAUACAUAAAAUUGCUGUGAGAACGCACAAUCACCAAGUGUCUCACUUAAUAGCUCCAUUCCUGGAAUAAACUCUACUGGAAUCUCCAGCAAUGUGCUUGGCAGGGAGCACGCAGCAUGUCAAAAGCGAACCACUCAAAGAAUGCGACCGGCGAUGCACGGCAGCCACAGCCUGUCAUCUCACUGCAGAUGGCUGCGUUUUCACACAAUGCACACAGGAAGAAAUCUUUAAUUCAGACACAACUGCUAACUCAGAGAAAGGUGAUGACGUGGUACCAGCAUUCCCUUAUGAGAACUGAGCAAAUGGUUGAGGCAGCUGAAAAUGCAACUGCUCAGGGCUCUCCCUGCCUCACUGCCAGGCUGAGGCUGCCUGCUGCAAUCAGCACGAAGACCGCCUGCUUCUCCACUGCUCCCACCCGCCGGCUGUAGCACUGGCUGCGACUGCUGGUGCAGACAUUCCUAAGAGCAUCCAAAACAACGUUUUUGGGGAGCUCGCAGUAGUGACAUCCACAUACCAGUCCUUCUGCGGAAUAAAGCCAGCGUGAUUUUGGCAUUUUGAUACAGGCAUCCCCUCUCAUCCCCACAAGCUGGCAGGUUUGUGGUGCUUCUAAGAGGCCCCUGCAGCAUCCUCCCAGCUGCAGUCACCAACAGGCUCCUCGUGCAUCUCCAGCCGCCACCGUGCUCCCAGACGCCCUUUUCUGUGACUUAAUCUUGGACGACUAUCAAAGAAAACUCAGAAAGCUUCCAAACCAUGUAGGCUCAUAGCCAAAUGCACAAUUUAAAUGUGACUGCCCUAGGGCCUGCCCAUCAGUUGCAUCUAAAUACGGUAGAGACCAGACACUGAAAGAAAAGCCUGGCACACAACGUGCUCUCUGGGGGUACAGCUAAAGGGCAGGCAGCACCACCUACACAUCUGCGAGGGCCCCAGCACAGAUACUGAAGUUCCUCAAAACCUGGUACGUGUCUUUGAAGCUGUGCUUGUGGAAGGCUGAAAGUGGCACAAGUGUGAACAAUGGAGAACCUGAAUACUCGGAGAUGAUUCCUGGGUGCAAAACAUUUCAGAAAGGCUUGACGUGCGGCUUGCUGAUGACCGCAGAGAGACAGAAAAAGAGAGGCACAUAUACAGAGAACUGCCUCCAGCCUGAAACCCAGAUCAUCAGUUACAGCAGCAGUCUGAGGAGACACCACACAGCCCUCUAUAUUAUAUAGAGCACAGGAUUUUUGCUCAGCAAUACCAAAGUCCCACAGCAAGCCUCGGUGAAAUCGGGGCAUGGCAGAUGAAGGGAUCCCAAAAGAUCCACCAGGUAGGAAGGAAGAGCAUCCCAGAAAGUUAAGAAAAACUAGGAGUAUGAACUGAAGGCAUAAAAACAGAGCAUUUUCAACGCUUUUAUGAACACUCAGGUACACAGUAGUGUGAAUUACAUUACAAUGAAGGCUUUAAUCAGACUAACUACUAUUUUGGGUGUUUUAAGUUAUCAAAUUGAAAUCACUAGUUCGCUGAGUGCAGACAAAUCCUCUGAUUGCUUUUAAGGCAUUUUCUUACCUUAUGUAUUUCUUUGAGGGUUUCCUCAAUCAUUUUUAUACUGAAUAUGGGAAUAUUGCAGUCCGUACUGUUUGCUGGCUGUACUUUAAGAGGAUGGUGGAUCUGGGGGGGUGGGGGGAAGGAGGAGGAGAGAAUUUUAUGCUCUCAGCUGCUCCACAAUUGCAUAAACUUUGCCAGCGUGAACCUCCUGGGAGAGCUGUACUAUAGGCGUUAUGACUCAGCCCUGCUCUGGAUGAAGUCACUGUCAAGUGGAAGCAAACUAUUUGUUUCUAACAACAUAUAUGGUGAACUCCAAAUUCAAGUUCAAGACAAAGCUGUCGUUAUUUCUCCCACCCACUUUGCUAUUGUUUUGUUCAGUUCAGAUUGCAAAGGAGCUCACAAUUUAAGUGAGCGCCAGAAAGAAAGCAAACCAACUGACAUCACCAUGUGAGCAAAAGAAGUUCCCUGCUCUCAUGGACUACAACCCAAAGAUUUUUUUUCCCCUGAAUCAUUGAGAUUUGUAACUAUCAUACAGAUAUUGUUUCCAGGGUUGGAGGAUUACAAUAUGCUAUAUAAUGCCCCCCCUUCCCCCUUUAUUAAUCCAUUUUUAAAUAAUGGAUUUAAAAAUAGAAUCCCCUUUAACUACAUAGUAACAUGUGACAACUGAGACCUUUGCAUCUCUUAUUUAUGCUGUGUUUUGCUUAAAGGAAGCAGUGCUGCUCCUUGCCUGUUAGCAAGCACCUUGUCUGGCACAUCUGCAGCCACCCCACAUAAUCACAGAAGCAGAGUCCAUGCUGUCAACACCAGAGAGGAGGCACAAAGCACUCUUUUUUUUUUAAACAGUUAACCCUGAAGACAAUCCUGACAUAGAUCAUUUAAAGCACAUGUGCCGUCUUUGAAACUGCAUCUAAAUUAGGACUGGCAAUUCAUGCAAUGGUUUCAAAUGCUACAAAUUUGUCUUGGAUAACAGAGUGGGAAAGAGGACGAGCAGAGAGCUGCCGGUGCCCCGCAGAGUGCAAUUUAGAGGGGCUUUAAGUAGCCUCUGUGAGUCAGGGACUUGGUGAUGUUCUAGCACAGCAGCAAUAGGCUGCUCCUAUCAAGGAGAUUUACGAAAACAUUUUCAUUUAUAAUCACCACUGAAACAUCCUGGUAGGACUGAAUCAUAUACCAAAAUAUAGACCUGUUCUUGCUUGGAGAUAGGCUUAAGCACAUGAUUCAAUCCAUCCUUAAUCACAACGCUGGAGUUGCCAGUCCCAACUGGAGGCUGGCAGAAACAAUGUCAGUUAAUCCCCGCCUCACAAAACCUGUCAUCGCUCACUUAUCUUGUUCCGUUGGGGUGGCCGGAAUAAGAGGCCUGCUAGAAAUGCCUGAUUGUUCUCUAAGGGACUCAUGCCUAUUUUGGAGAGACCAAAUUUAUAAAAGCAAAAUGAAAAAUGAGAAGUAGAAAAGUGAGAGGUUUUCAUUUAAAAACUUCUCUGUUUGUCAAGCAACCAGUUUCCAGUAAAGUAACCUUUACAAAUUUAGCACUUUUUCUUUCUAAACACUCUUGUCUUAGCAAAAAGAAAAAAUUCUGGGAGGAAAAAUCCCCCUCCCAAAGUACAGAUUAUAAUCUUCUUCACCACCAGUAACAAAUUUUCUCACUUUAUGCUUUAUCUUUAAUGCAAUGCUAAUGGUAACAAUUUCUCGCUUGGGCUAUUACACACCAGCUGGCAGAAGCACAGCACGAUGCACCCACUGGCUAAAGAAAAUCUUCACUUUCGCAUGUUAAACCUGAAGUCACAUGGUCUUAUAAUAAUCCACUGAGCAAGCAUGAGACAUUCAUCCUCAAAAUCCCACAGAAACCCUACAGUGAUUUGCUUAUCUUACACUUUAAUCUAUUAUAGAAAUUCAUCUCUACACUUUUAGUAUUCGUAUUCAAAGGGCACUGAAAACCAGCACUUAACUGUGGGGUUAUAGCACGGACCAAAACGCACCCAGCGCUAAAGGCAACAAGGAGCUGAAAUUUGAUUUCCACAGAUGAAUGAUCAAUCACUUUUUGGACCAGGUUUCUACCCCAAUACCCACAGUUUUCUCCAUAUAAUCUGCCCCAACUUAGAUAAAAGCAGACUGUUAGUUUAUGUAUGUUACUGGAGGCAUCAUUACCUGGCAGUAACUUUGUUUUGUGAACAUGCACGUGAUGGGCAAAGGCCUGGCCAAUGAAGUUGCAGCCGAAUUUACAAAAUAGACUAAAAGCACAGUUGGUUUAUUUUGUCCUAUUUCUCCGUUUCCCUUGCUGUGCUGAGAAAAUAUACAUCACUGAAUCAGUUCUUACAAAGGACUGAAAACUGUACAGUAGCCCUAGGUUGGGUGUCAGCCCUUAGCCGGGUUUCUCUUUGGGAACGUCACGCACACAGCUUGGUAGAGAGUUCCGGAACUGAACUUCUGCUUCGUAAACCUAUGUUCAAAAACUGGCACCUCAGAAGGCAAAAACUGUCCUGUUGUCACUCCUUCCCAUCAUCCAGAACCACUGUUUUCUUGUGAUACCCUGCCCGGCACUACAAUACAGGCAGGGAGGGUGACCUGCCCUGUGCCCCUCUCCUGUUCCCAGCCCCACAGCUCGGGGCAGCAGGGACGGAGCUUCACCACUGCCAGCCUCAGCGCCUCAGCAGUCUCGUUCCCAAGGGUUUGAGGAAGAAACGUGCCAGAAAGCAGCAUGGGGAGCCAGCCCCAUCCUGCCACACCACUCAGCACAGUGCAGGACCAAACAGGCCCUGCGUGGACCUCCCUUCGACUCCAUGAAUGUCAACAGAGAUGUAAAGGUCUGUGCAAGCAGCUCCCAGCACAAGACAAAAAUUAUAACUUAAAAUCACAAAAAUUAUAGCAUAAGUCACAGUUGUCCAGGUCAGGCCACAGACAUGACCCCAUAAGACUUCCCUGAGUAACAAUGUCUGAAAAACACAACUUGACUUCUGAAUACAGCAGCAAGCCAUGGAACUUCUGAGCUGACCAGAAACAUUUACCAUAGUUUUCAGCAUCAACUCCAACUGAAACCAAAAGUCACACCAGGCUCAGGCAGCCCACAGCUGGAAAUAGAAGAGCAGUCACAUUUCUUGUCACGUACGGCUCGCUAAGGGUAAGUGUGUGAGUGCGCUGGGCUGAGCAGGCCCGAGCCACCCUACAGCAUCAGGACCACACAGCCCCAACAGCAGCUCCUCCGCAGCCUCCUGGGCCUACCCGAAGAAGUCCCGCACUGUCACAGUGCCACGUGCACAUGGGGAUGGCUCAGGGGGUUGGCACUAUUUCCUCAUGACCUGCAGCUGCACCUCUUCACCCAGAGCCACAGCUGGCUGCCAGCAAUAGCAGCAGCACGAGGGAGCAGCGUACCGGGACGUCGGAACUUGGCUCCUGCCUCCAUUCGCUGGUAUAACCAGGGUAUAACUGAGGGCAGACAAUAACCCUACUGCAAAUACUCAAAUUUCAUAAUGACUCGUAUGAUGGAAAUGUUACUCAAGUCCAAUUUUGAUUAUCUUACUUCAUACAUAAAAAUAAAAACAUAUACAGACACACACAACAUUUCUCCCCACAGCACCUUGGCUCUUUUCCAAGAUCAUUUUAAACAACCUGCAAAUACUAAUAAAAAGUAACUAAAA